rnacentral:antisense_RNA from 1 species
UGUUAUGGCGGCUGUGCGUGGGAGGCUUUCGAGUCUGCCGGGUUUGCCUAUUCCCCGGUUUCCAGCCUGCGCACAGCUGCCACCCAU